AGUCAUAUGCUUAUCUCAAAGAUUAAGCCAUGCAAGUCUAAGUAUAAACACUUUUGUACUGUGAAACUGCAGACAGCUUAUUAAAACAGUUAUAGUUUAUUUGACAGUAGCCUGUUUCCGGAUAGUCGUGGGAAAUCCAGGAAUAAUACGUACCGUUGCUGUUUCAAAGCAGCAGCAAGCAUAUUAUUUUAAACCAACACUGGUUGAACCAAAUAUUUCCUAGAUCGAUUCGGCUCAUGCCGCCGACGUGUCCAUUUAAGUUUCUGACCUAUCAGCCUCGACGGUAAGGUAUUGGCUUACCGUAGCAUUGACGGGUACGGGGAAUCAGGGUUCGAUUCCGAAGAGGUAGCCUUAGAAACGGCUUCCAUAUCUACGGACAGCAGCAGGUGCGAAAAUUGCCCAAUCCUAACACAGGGAGGCAGUGACGAGAAAUAACGAUUAGCGGCCUUUGGUCGCCAUUCGGAAUGAGCACAAUGUAAAGCUCUUAGCGAAGCCGAGCGGUGGGCAAGUCUGGUGCCAGCAGCCGCGGUAAGUCCAGCACCGCUAGCAUAUACUAAAGUUGCUGCUGUUAAAAAGCUCGUAGUUGGAUAUCAGCCUGGGCGGACAUGGCCCUGUCGCGUAGCGACAGCGUGCUAGCGCUUUUCGCAGUCCCCCGGCUCGUGCGGGGACACGGUCAAGCCAUUAGUUUGGUUUUGGCCGCGGCCCCCGCCCCCUUACCUUGAGAAAAUUAGAGCGCUCAAGGCAGGCUUUCGCCUGAAUGCAUUAGCAUGGAAUAACACUCCCGACUUUGCUCCCGCGCAUGCGGGUUUGUUGGUUUGGGGCAGAGUAAUGAUUGAUAGGAGCAACUGGGGGCGCUAGAACCGCCGGGGGAGAGGUAAAAUUUUAUGAUCCCGGUUAGACUGCCAAAUGCGAAAGCAUUCGUCAAGGGUGCUUUCUUUGAUCAAGAACUAAAGCCCGGGGAUCGAAGACGAUCAGAUACCGUCGUAGUCCGGGCCAUAAACUAUGUCAACUAGGUUUUGGGCUACGAACUUCCUCAGCGCCUUAGAGAAAUCAAAGUCUUCGGACUCAGGGGGAAGUAUGCUCGCAAGAAUGAAAUUUAAAGGAAUUGACGGAGAGGCACCACCAGGAAUGGAGCCUGCGGCUUAAUUUGAUUCAACGCGGUAAAACUUACCAGGUCCGGACAUAGCGAUGAUUGCCAGAUUGAAGAUCUUGCAUGAUUCUAUGAGUAGUGGUGCAUGGCCGUUCUUGGUUGGUGAAGCGAUUUGUCUGGUUAAUUCCGAUAACGAACGAGACCUCAGCCCUUAACUAGCCACUGCUACUUUUGUAGUGCUCGACACCGAGGUUGGCUUAUAUUAGGGGGACUAGUCGUGUCCAGCGGCGGGAAGCCUGAGGCGAUAACAGGUCCGUGAUGYCCUUGUAAGGUCUGGGCCGCACGCGUGCUACAAUGGCGCUCUCAGCGAGUUCUAGCCUUUUUUGAAAAAAACGGGUAAUCUCCAAAGGGCGUCUCAGUGGGGAUAGACGAUUGUAAUUAUUUGUCUUGAACUAGGAACUCCUAGUAAGUGCAAGUCAUUAGCUUGCGCUGACUACGUCCCUGCCUCUUGUACACACCGCCCGUCGCUCCUACCGAUUCAAUGAUGCGAUGAACUGGAUGGAGGGCUUUAUAUUUUUUUAAUGUGAGGCCCGAAGUCCCGUAAAUCUCAUUAUUAAGAGGAAGGAAAAGUCGUAACAAGGUUUCC
rnacentral:rRNA from 1 species